AGGAAGGCUGAGCCUCCCAGCUCAUGGUGGAAGUCAAGCCCGAGCAUGCCCAGCAGCUGGGGAGCCCCACGUGAUGACAACAGCAUCCAGCUCCAUCUGGUGAUGUUCUCCCAGCCCCCCGGGCACUUUUCCAUCUAGUCUUGCAAGCAGCUGGAUCAAUUUACUCUAGCCUACGGUGCGCUGCACAGGCACAGACUGAAAUUAUUACUCAUGGAAAUCCCCUCUGUCUCAGUGCUUUGAACAAGGAAUCAGGUAGCUUUCAAGCUCCUGACAAUUAAUAGCCUUUGGUCGAGGGAGAACAGUGCAAACACGCUGGAAGCAAUGGGUUUCAAAACAGCUUGCUUAGUUUCUAGUAAAUUAAAGGGAGUGGGCGGUUGAGGUACACGGUAAUAUUAUCCAGCACAGUGUGGUCUUCACUGACGUCAGCAGGACAUUUUUUUUCCCCCUCUUUCUCUCUCUCUGCCUGUCUCCCAGAAAGAGACACAUGGAGGUUAACUCUGACAGAAGCAUGGCUCGUACCACCCGGAGAACCUCCAGUUUUCCAUCAACAAUGCCAGAGCGCAGAUGCUACUAUGUUGCAAAUGAGCAGCACCAAAUUACAUGCAAGUCAUUUCAGAGGAGAAAAAAGCUGUUGGAAACAGAAAUCAUGAGGACUUACAAGUUGCCUGCUGAGGUCCCUUUGACAACAGUGUCUUUCAGGAUUCAUUUGCACCUUUCAUCAGGACAUUUUGGAGAAAAAAAUGGAAGGAAUUAAUAGCUAUCCGUAAUUAUGCCUCAGAUUGGCAGUGCCUGGGGGUGAAUGGAGCUCAUAUCUCCAAGUUGCCAUUCCUGAGUUUUAGCCACCAACCUAUGCUCCCUUCUUUCUGCAAAUGGGUCAUUUUGGAUGCAGCAAUGAGGAAGAGUGCAUGAACUUCAGUCUCUAGUUAUGAUUUCAAACUCACAAAAAAAUCUGUGAAAUGGGGGAUUGGAAAGGAAAACAGCAAUUAACAGCUCCUGACUAGGACAUGGGCAAUGCCAGGAAACAUUCAGAAAAAUAACCCAUGGCAGUUGCUGAAAGGGGCCUAGCAAAUGAAUAAGAGGGAGUAGCAAACUAGAUGCUGGUUUAUAAAAUGAGAGGGUCUGAUUUUGACCUGCAGAGAGGUGAAGAACAUUGUAUCACAGAAGAGAAGGGAGAUGGCUUCUCUCUGCAGGGUGCUGCUGAGUCUGAGCCAUCCUCUGAACAGAGAAAGCAACUGCAGGCAUUCGUGUGUCAAGGAGACAUCAUACUGGAAAGAAUUCAACAAUGAACAACAAUCAAAUAACUAAAGGGAAGAUUAAAUAACUAAAUAGUACAGUUUGGAUAAGUAAGCCCCUAAGAAGAAGAUAAAA